rnacentral:rRNA from 1 species
GAUGAACGCUAGCGGCGGGCCUAAUACAUGCAAGUCGAGGGGUAGAAGAGGCUUGCUUCUUUGAGACCGGCGCACGGGUGCGUAACGCGUAUGCAACCUACCUUCAUCUGGGGGAUAGCCCGGAGAAAUCCGGAUUAAUACCGCAUAAAAUCACAGGAUGGCAUUAUCCAAUGAUCAAACAUUUAUGGGAUUGAGAUGGGCAUGCGUGUCAUUAGCUAGUUGGCGGGGUAACGGCCCACCAAGGCGACGAUGACUAGGGGAACUGAGAGGAUGGCACACCACACUGGUACUGAGACACGGACCAGACGCCUACGGGAGGCAGCAGUAAGGAAUAUUGGUCAAUGGAGGCAACUCUGAACCAGCCAUGCCGCGUGCAGGAAGACUGCCCUAUGGGUUGUAAACUGCUUUUAUUCGGGAAUAAACCUUAUUACGUGUAAUAAGCUGAAUGUACCGAAGGAAUAAGGAUCGGCUAACUCCGUGCCAGCCGCCGCGGUAA